UACGAGGGGGGCGGGCGUUGUUCGGAAUUAUUGGGCGUAAAGGGUGCGUAGGCGGUUUGGUAAGUCUCGUGUGAAAUCUCCGGGCUCAACUCGGAGCCUGCACGAGAAACUGCCGGGCUUGAGUGUGGGAGAGGUGAGUGGAAUUCCUGGUGUAGCGGUGAAAUGCGUAGAUAUCAGGAGGAACACCUGUGGCGAAAGCGGCUCACUGGACCAUAACUGACGCUGAUAGACGAAAGCCAGGGGAGCAAACGGG
rnacentral:rRNA from 1 species